AAGAAUGUCAUGGUUCAUCAACUUAGACCAUGCACCUCAUGCAUUGGUCCAUUAAAUAUUUUUCAAAAUUGAUGAAAAAGUAUUAUUAUAUUAGAUAUUAUUCUAAUAAGAUAAUUUCAUUUGGAAAAACACGCAAAAACUAGUGGUCGGAGAGCAACACAUCAGCGGACCCGUGGCGUUGAUCCCAUCAACACCCUUUACACGGGUGGGACCCAUGGUGGCAAAUGCACAAUUACGUGGGUGGAUGGAUAUAAGAGGGAGGAAGAGGCGAGCAAAGCAGGAGCAAAAAGCCUCCUUCAGAAGAAAGUGGGAGGGUUCGGAGGGGAUUAGGAUGAUGGAGGAGGUUUUUAGGGUGGACCAUCUUGCGCAGGAGCGGAGCAAGACGCAGUCCGAUGUGGAUGCUAUGAAGAUCGUCUGGGCCUGGCUCCAAGCACGCCUUCCAUGUCGCCGACCGCAUGGCUCGACUCGUCGCCAGCGAUCCGGUUUUUCGAGAGGAUAAUAGGCCGAUGCUUGGACGCAAGGAGUUGUUCAAGAACACUCUGAGAAAAAAGCAGCCCAUGAACUACGUCUUACUUGUAACUUCUUCUUCUUGUGAUUUUUCCCAUUUCAGUCAACUAGAUGAGAUAAUUGGCACAUAUAUGCAAAAGAAAAGUUGCAUGCUUAUUGUCUAUCUUUUCUGUAGCCAAAUGAUUUGAGGAUUUUCUCUAACCUGGUAGUACGUACAUGGAUUUGUUGGUUUGGUCGAUGAAA